ensembl:Mt_tRNA
CUAGACAGGUGGGCUAUAAUCCCACGAAAUUUUAGUUAACAGCUAAACGCCCUAAACAACUGGCUUCAAUCUA